rnacentral:rRNA from 1 species
UACAGAGGUCCCGAGCGUUGUCCGGAUUUAUUGGGCGUAAAGAGCGUGUAGGCGGUUUGGUAGGUCCGCUGUGAAAACUCGAGGCUCAACCUCGAGACGCCGGUGGAAACCAUCAGACUAGAGUCCGGAAGAGGAGAGUGGAAUUCCUGGUGUAGCGGUGAAAUGCGCAGAUAUCAGGAAGAACACCCGUGGCUAAGGCGGCUCUCUAGUACGGUACUGACGCUGAGACGCGAAAGCGUGGGGAGCGAACAGG